rnacentral:rRNA from 1 species
GACGAACGCUGGCGGCGUGCCUAAUACAUGCAAGUUGAGCGAUGAAGAUUGGUGCUUGCACCAAUUUGAAGAGCAGCGAACGGGUGAGUAACGCGUGGGGAAUCUGCCUUUGAGCGGGGGACAACAUUUGGAAACGAAUGCUAAUACCGCAUAACAACUUUAAACAUAAGUUUUAAGUUUGAAAGAUGCAAUUGCAUCACUCAAAGAUGAUCCCGCGUUGUAUUAGCUAGUUGGUGAGGUAAAGGCUCACCAAGGCGAUGAUACAUAGCCGACCUGAGAGGGUGAUCGGCCACAUUGGGACUGAGACACGGCCCAAACUCCUACGGGAGGCAGCAGUAGGGAAUCUUCGGCAAUGGACGAAAGUCUGACCGAGCAACGCCGCGUGAGUGAAGAAGGUUUUCGGAUCGUAAAACUCUGUUGGUAGAGAAGAACGUUGGUGAGAGUGGAAAGCUCAUCAAGUGACGGUAACUACCCAGAAAGGGGCGGCUAACUACGUG